rnacentral:sRNA from 1 species
GACUGACGGAGCGCCCCCGCCCCCGCCCGGCCGCCCGCCCGCCGCCGCCAUGCCCUUCUCCAACAGCCACAACGCACUGAAGCUGCGCUUCCCGGCCGAGGACGAGUUCCCCGACCUGAGCGCCCACAACAACCACAUGGCCAAGGUGCUGACCCCCGAGCUGUACGCGGAGCUGCGAGCCAAGAGCACGCCGAGCGGCUUCACGCUGGACGACGUCAUCCAGACAGGCGUGGACAACCCGGGCCACCCGUACAUCAUGACCGUGGGCUGCGUGGCGGGCGACGAGGAGUCCUACGAAGUGUUCAAGGAUCUCUUCGACCCCAUCAUCGAGGACCGGCACGGCGGCUACAAGCCCAGCGAUGAGCACAAGACCGACCUCAACCCCGACAACCUGCAGGUGCGGGGCGGCGGGCGGGCCGGGCGGGCGGGGCCGGGGUCUCCGGGCGCUCACUCCCGUCUCGCCCCCCAGGGCGGCGACGACCUGGACCCCAACUACGUGCUGAGCUCGCGGGUGCGCACGGGCCGCAGCAUCCGUGGCUUCUGCCUCCCCCCGCACUGCAGCCGCGGGGAGCGCCGCGCCAUCGAGAAGCUCGCGGUGGAAGCCCUGUCCAGCCUGGACGGCGACCUGGCGGGCCGGUACUACGCGCUCAAGAGCAUGACGGAGGCGGAGCAGCAGCAGCUCAUCGACGACCAUUUCCUUUUCGACAAGCCCGUGUCGCCCCUGCUGCUGGCCUCGGGCAUGGCCCGCGACUGGCCCGACGCCCGCGGUAUCUGG